UACGUAGGGUGCGAGCGUUGUCCGGAAUUACUGGGCGUAAAGAGCUCGUAGGUGGUUUGUCGCGUUGUCCGUGAAAACUCACAACUCAAUUGUGGGCGUGCGGGCGAUACGGGCAGACUGGAGUACUGCAGGGGAGACUGGAAUUCCUGGUGUAGCGGUGGAAUGCGCAGAUAUCAGGAGGAACACCCGUAGCGAAGGCGGCACUCUGGGCCGGUACUGACGCUGAGACGCGAAAGCGUGGGGAGCGAACAGG
rnacentral:rRNA from 1 species